rnacentral:sRNA from 1 species
GCCGGGAGAGGUGGCACUCGCCUGUCAUCCCAGCUCCUCGGGAGGCUGAGGCAGGAGGACUGCAAGUUGGAGGCCAGCCUCUG